rnacentral:rRNA from 1 species
UACGUAGGGUGCGAGCGUUCAUCGGAAUUACUGGGCGUAAAGCGCGCGUAGGUGGUUCAGUAAGUUGGAAGUGAAAUCCCCGGGCUCAACCUGGGAAUUGCAUUUGAAACUGGCCAACUAGAGUACGUGAGAGGGGGGUAGAAUUCCAAGUGUAGCGGUGAAAUGCGUAGAGAUUUGGAGGAAUACCAGUGGCGAAGGCGGCCCCCUGGCACGAUACUGACGCUCAGGUGCGAAAGCGUGGGGAGCAAACAGG